AACGAACGCUGGCGGCAUGCCUAACACAUGCAAGUCGAACGAGACCUUCGGGUCUUUUGGCGCACGGGUGCGUAACGCGUGGGAACCUUCACUUAGGUUGGGAAUACCUCCCCGAAAGGGGUGCUAAUACCGGAUAAUGUCUUCGGACCAAAGAUAUAUCGCCUUUGGAUGGGCGCGCGUUGGAUUAGCUAUUUGGUAGGGUAAAAGCCUACCAAGGCGACGCUGCAUAGCUGGUCUGAGAGGAUGAUCAACCACACUGGGACUGGGACACGGCCGAGACUCUUAGGGAAGGCAGCAGGGGGGAAUAUUGGACAAUGGGCGAGAGCCUGAUCCAGCCGUGCCGCGUAAGUGAUGAAGUCCUGAGGGUUGUAAAGCUCUUUUACCCGGGAUGAUAAUGACAGUACCGGGCGAAUAAGCGCCGGCUAACUACGUG
rnacentral:rRNA from 1 species